rnacentral:rRNA from 1 species
UACAGAGGGGGCAAGCGUUGUUCGGAAUUACUGGGCGUAAAGGGCGCGUAGGCGGCCUGCUAAGUCGAACGUGAAAUCCCCGGGCUCAACCCGGGAACUGCGUCCGAUACUGGUUGGCUUGAAUCCGGGAGAGGGAUGCGGAAUUCCCGGUGUAGUGGUGAAAUGCGUAGAUAUCGGGAGGAACACCAGUGGCGAAGGCGACUACCUGGCCUGUUUCUUGACGCUGAGGCGCGAAAGCUAGGGGAGCAAACGGG